rnacentral:lncRNA from 1 species
AGAGAGAGUUUUGCUAUAAUACUAUCGGUAGUAAACGGCUCGGUUUACUGCCGAUUUAUUUUCGAUGAUAGAGCUUCCAAAUUGAUGAUCGGCACCGUUAAAUAUGAUCUUAACUAUUUAAACUAUCGGGAAAUCAAAUUUCACACAUUUUCGAUAUUGUUCUCUUGUCCAUCAAGUGAACAGAAAAAUGAACGGCUGGAAAUGAAUUUCCUUCAAAAAGUGAUGCUACAAUUUUUAUAUUUGAGAUCUAGAGUCUAGAUCUUAUUUUAUAUAGUUUAAAGAAUUUUUUAAUAAAAAUUUAGCUGAUUUGAACUCUUCUAUACUGUUAAACGAGCAAACACACCAUAUCGGCCAUUAAAAUUAUAGAUUUUGUGACCCUUUGAUCGUUCAGUUAGUGACGCCGAAAAAUCAUGAAAUUUGAUUUAUAGAUAAUUUAAAUGGUCUAGAUCAUGUUCAACGGUGCCAAUCGUCGAUUUGGAAGCUCUAUCAUCAAAAACAAAUCGGUAGUAAACCGAGAAGUUUACUACCGAUAGUAGCCCAGUCAAACUAUAUAUAUAUAUAUAUAUAUAUAUAUAUAUAUAUAUA